rnacentral:rRNA from 1 species
AACGAACGCUGGCGGCAGGCCUAACACAUGCAAGUCGAACGUGAAGCCACCUUCGGGUGGUGGAAAGUGGCAGACGGGUGAGUAACGCGUGGGAACGUGCCUUUCGGUUCGGAAUUACCCAGGGAAACUUGGGCUAAUACCGGAUACGCCCUUCGGGGGAAAGAUUCAUCGCCGAAAGAUCGGCCCGCGUCGGAUUAGCUAGGUGGUGAGGUAAUGGCUCACCAAGGCGACGAUCCGUAGCUGGUCUGAGAGGAUGACCAGCCACACUGGGACUGAGACACGGCCCAGACUCCUACGGGAGGCAGCAGUGGGAAUAUUGGACAAUGGGCGCAAGCCUGAUCCAGCCAUGCCGCGUGGGUGAAGAAGGCCUUAGGGUUGUAAACCCCUUUCAGCGGGGAAGAUAAUGACGGUACCCGCAGAAGAAGUCCCGGCUAACUCCGUGCCAGCCGCCGCCGUAACAC